UAGCGUAGGGGGCAAGCGUUGUCCGGGAUUUAUUGGGCGUAAAGAGCGUGUAGGCGGCUAGGUAGGUCCGUUGUGAAAACUCGAGGCUCAACCUCGAGACGUCGAUGGAAACCAUCUAGCUAGAGUCCGGAAGAGGAGAGUGGAAUUCCUGGUGUAGCGGUGAAAUGCGCAGAUAUCAGGAAGAACACCCGUGGCGAAGGCGGCUCUCUGGUACGUGACUGACGCUGAGACGCGAAAGCGUGGGGAGCGAACAGG
rnacentral:rRNA from 1 species